rnacentral:rRNA from 1 species
UACGUAGGGGGCUAGCGUUGUCCGGAUUUAUUGGGCGUAAAGAGCGUGUAGGCGGCCAUGUAGGUCCGGUGUGAAAACUCGAGGCUUAACCUCGAGAUGUCAUCGGAAACCAUUUGGCUAGAGUCCGGAAGAGGAGAGUGGAAUUCCUGGUGUAGCGGUGAAAUGCGCAGAUAUCAGGAAGAACACCAAUGGCGAAAGCAGCUCUCUGGGACGGUACUGACGCUGUGACGCGAAAGCGUGGGGAGCGAACAGG